rnacentral:rRNA from 1 species
GUAGAGGAGCAAUCCUCGAGAGUGGCGAACGGGUGAGUAAUGCAUCGGAACGUGCCCAGUAGUGGGGGAUAGCCCGGCGAAAGCCGGAUUAAUACCGCAUGAGACCUGAGGGUGAAAGCGGGGGACUCGCAAGAGCCUCGCGCUACUGGAGCGGCCGAUAUCAGAUUAGGUAGUUGGUGGGGUAAAAGCCUACCAAGCCUGCGAUCUGUAGCUGGUCUGAGAGGACGACCAGCCACGCUGGGACUGAGACACGGCCCAGACUCCUACGGGAGGCAGCAGUGGGGAAUUUUGGACAAUGGGCGAAAGCCUGAUCCAGCCAUGCCGCGUGCGGGAAGAAGGCCUUCGGGUUGUAAACCGCUUUUGUCAGGGAAGAAAUCCUUUGAGUUAAUACCUCGGAGGGAUGACGGUACCUGAAGAAUAAGCACCGGCUAACUUCGUGCCAGCAGCCGCGGUAAUACGAAGGGUGCAAGCGUUACUCGGAAUUACUGGGCGUAAAGCGUGCGUAGGUGGUUUGUUAAGUCUGAUGUGAAAGCCCUGGGCUCAACCUGGGAAUGGCAUUGGAUACUGGCAGGCUAGAGUGCGGUAGAGGGUAGUGGAAUUCCCGGUGUAGCAGUGAAAUGCGUAGAGAUCGGGAGGAACAUCUGUGGCGAAGGCGACUACCUGGACCAGCACUGACACUGAGGCACGAAGCGUGGGGAGCAACAGGAUAGAUACCUGGUAGUCACGCCCUAACGAUGCGACUGGAUGUGGCUCAC